UUUAUGUCUCAUUCUAAUUAAAGAUCCCCACGCGCACACACUCAGAAAAGAGAACGGACAGAGAGAACGGCAGUAACCCCACCCCUUCAAAAAAAAAUCACUCCAACCAUGAAUCUCAAGAUCUAGGACCUAAUUUUUGCAGCACCCCCUUUACGCUCAAAAACAACUUCAAGGUUGAACUCAAGUCCGUCGCGGUCGGUGUGGAAGUUCUUCGGUCGAUUGUUCCUAUUGGUUGAGUUCAUUUGUUGCUCAUUUUGGUCGUUGUCACAUCUGGUCUAUUUUGUUACAAGCUCUCAACUUCAGAUUCAUUAAUAAAGGUAUUUUUCAAGAAGAAACGUAUGCUACUUUGUUAUUGUCAAAUCACUGUUUGGUGUCUGAGAGUAUUUGAGUUAAAUAUACUGGAGCGUGGACAGUUUCUUGUUGGAAUCUUUAUGCUAUAGUUAAGAUGGGUUAUUAUUUUUGUUUUGUUUUCUUUGUUGGGUAGCAAAGCAAGAGUGGCAACUGGCUAAUUGGAUUUUUAUUGCCUAAUGAUUUGGUUUAAGAUUUUUCUACUUGGGAAUUUUAGCACUCACUGGAUGUGAGAUUGGUUAAUUGCGAAGGUGUGUAAUAAUUUUCGGGUAUGUUUAAUAGUUUUGGGAGGUGAAUCUUUGAGGAAUAUAUUUUGUUUGGUCAUUAUUACUUCGUUCUGGGCUUUCAUUGUUCCUUCUCCUAAAUUUCAGUUUUGGUUAACUGCACCAAAUAAGUUCCGGUUCGAGUUCAAGGUUCCGGUCUAAAGUCGAUUUUGGGUCUAGGAUCUAUGAUGAGUGGUCGUUGUAUGAAUUUUGCUAGAAGCUAUGUUCAACGAAAAAUUGUUGCUUCAGUUAAGGUCCAUUAUCAAUUGUUUUUUUUCUAUAGAUUAGUUGAAUAUUAUGUUUAUUUGCUUCUGAUUAAUUACUUUGUUUUAGUUGAGUAUCUUGAAUGCUUGUUUGAAUGUUGAUCGGGACUUUAUGAUAUAUUUUUUUGGUUUCGAGUAAUUCCAUGUAUAUAUGUUUCUAGUGAACUCAAUCUUCAUUGUUUUGACUUUCUAUGCUUGUGUCGGUCGUGAGCCUUUAAGAUUCACUACAUAGUUCCUAGAUGAUUA
rnacentral:lncRNA from 1 species